CAACAUUCUCUACCCCUUCGGCACAUCCAAUACAGCUACGAAAGGCUUCGAAAUAAGCUGCAAUGGCACUUCCGUAAUUCUGUAACUAGGCAAAUAUACUUAACAGAUUGAAGACAUCUUGCCAUAAGACUAUCUGAGCAUUUACACCAGUGCCAUUAUUCAGUGCUGCGAUAGAAAUUUCACUUUAAGACAUCGCAUGAUUAAUAUAGAGGG
rnacentral:lncRNA from 1 species